rnacentral:rRNA from 1 species
CCUACGGGUGGCAGCAGUGGGGGAUAUUGCACAAUGGGGGAAACCCUGAUGCAGCGACGCCGCGUGUGGGAAGACGGUCUUCUGGAUUGUAAACCACUGUCCCCAGGGACGAAAAUGACGGUACCUGGGGAGGAAGCUCCGGCUAACUACGGGCCAGCAGCCGCGGUAAUACGUAGGGAGCAAGCGUUGUCCGGAAUUACUGGGUGUAAGGGGAGCGUAGGCGGGGAUGCAAGUUGGGUGUAAAAACUACCGGCUCAACCGUUAGUCGCACUCGAAACUGCAACUCUUGAGUGAAGUAGAGGAAGGCGGAAUUCCUAGUGUAGCGGUGAAAUGCGUAGAUAUUAGGAGGAACACCAGUGGCGAAGGCGGCCUGCUGGGCUUUUACUGACGCUGAGGCUCGAAAGUGUGGGGAGCAAACAGGAUUAGAUACCCGAGUAGUC